ACAGGUGCACAGAACUUGCUGAUGUAAAGGGCCUGUCCCACUUGGCCAUCAUUUACGCCUCAUGUACGCGUUAUAUGUAAAUUAGGUCGACGCGUCGUGAUGCGUGGGGUGCACAUG